UACGACUACAUAUCAGGCAUAUCAAUAAGCGGAGGAAAAGAAACUAACAAGGAUUCCCUUAGUAAUGGCGAGUGAAGCGGGAAGAGCUCAAAUUUGAAAUCUUCAAGGUUCUACCUUGACGAAUUGUAGUUUAAAGAAGUGUUUUCUGUUGGAGUUUUGGUAAAAGUUCUUUGGAAUAGGACAUCAUAGAGGGUGAGAAUCCCGUAUUUGACCAUUAUUUUCAGCUGUGUGAUACACUUUCAAAGAGUCGGAUUGUUUGGGAAUGCAGUCCAAAAUGGGUGGUAAAUUUCAUCCAAAGCUAAAUAUUGGCGAGAGACCGAUAGCGAACAAGUACCGUGAGGGAAAGAUGAAAAGAACUUUGAAAAGAGAGUUAAACAGUACGUGAAAUUGUCAAAAGGGAAGCGUUUGACACCUAGUGUUGUUUUCUCGAAAAUCAAUUAAAAAUAGGCUGGAUUUUGUGUUGUAUUGACCUUAAUCAGCUUGCUUCACUCUUUUCAUUGUCUUUUUUAAUGCACUUUUCGUUUAACAAGUCAACAUCAGUUUCUUUUGUUGUAAAAGGGUCAUUGGAAGGUGGCUUUCUUUCGGAGAAAGUGUUUAUAGCCUUUGAUCUCUGCAAUCGGAGAGACUGAGGUCUGCAGCGUAGAUCCUUCGGGGUUAGAUACAUUUGUGCUAAGCUAUAGCCUUGUAUAGACAACUUGUUGACUAUGCUCAGUCAUGUAGCUUACUCGCUUGCGCUAUUUUACCUACGCUUAGGAUGUUGAGCGCAUGUCUCUCUCU
rnacentral:rRNA from 1 species